UCCUGGUGAGGCUGAUAAUCUGCUGACUGGACUGACAUGUGACAGACAGCGAUGGCUGCAUGAACUAAUCAGCUUUAGUCAGCAUUUUCUUCCAGAGGUGAUUAUGAGAGCCACAACUCUAAUUCUUGGAUUCUAGAACCAAUUGGUCAUGCCUUAAAUAUGGACAUGACUUCCAGUGAUGCAGGCUGCAAGCUUUCUACACUCUUUC
rnacentral:lncRNA from 1 species